GUAGGUGGCAAGCGUUGUCCGGGAAUUAUUGGGGCGUAAAGCGCGCGCAGGCGGUUCGUUUAAGUCUGAUGUGAAAGCCCACGGGCUCAACCGUGGAGGGUCAUUGGAAACUGGAGAACUUGAGUACAGAAGAGGAAAGCGGAAUUCCACGUGUAGCGGUGAAAUGCGUAGAGAUGUGGAGGAACACCAGUGGCGAAGGCGGCGUUUCUGGUCUGUAACUGACGCUGAGGCGCGAAAGCGUGGGGAGCAAACAGGAUUAGAUACCCUGGUAGUCCACGCCGUAAACGAUGAGUGCUAAGUGUUAGGGGGUUUCCGCCCCUUAGUGCUGCAGCUAACGCAUUAAGCACUCCGCCUGGGGAGUACGGCCGCAAAGGCUGA
rnacentral:rRNA from 1 species